GUUUAGGGUUUAGCUAGGUUUAGCAGCUGGGAAUGUUGCUCAAGAGGUAGCGUGCUCGUCUCGCAUGUACAGGGCACUGGGUUUGAUCCUCAGCACUACAUACCAAUAAUAUAAAUAUGUUGUGUCCACCAAAAUGUAAAAAAUAAAUCUUAAAAAAAAACUAGGUUUAGGACUCAGAUUAAGGCUAGGUUUUGGGUUAGGUUAGGGCUAGUGUUAAGGCUACAGCUAAUGUACAAAGUAGCGAUAUGAUUAGAGCUAGUGAUAGGGUCAUGAUUAGGGCUAAGUCUACUGUUAGGGUUAAGUUUAUGGUUAUGAUGAUGUUUAGAACUAGGUUUAAUGUUAGGGUCAGAGUCAGAGUCCAGAUUAGUUUUCAGGUUAUGGUUAGGACUAGAAUUAGAGAUAGGUUUAGGGCUAGGUUUAGGGUUAGGGUUUGGUUUAGGUUAAGUGUUAGGGUUAGGGUUAUGAUUCAGUUUUGUACUAGGGCUAGGGGUAGAGUCAGGGCUAGUUUAAGGAUUAAUUUUAGGAUUAGCGCUAGUGUUAGUGUGAGGUUUAUGCUUAGGUUUAGGGUUAGAUUUAGAUUUAGGGUUAGAUCUAGGAUUUGAGCUAUUGGUAAGGAAAGGGCUAGGAUUAGGGCUAAGCUUAGGGCUAGGUAUAGUAUGAUGGUAAGGGAUAGGUUUAGAACUAGGUAUAAGGCUAGUGUGAGAGUUUGAGUUAGUCUUGUAGUUGGGUUAGGGAUGAGUUAGGGAUAGGGCUAAAUUAGGGCUCAGAUUAGGACUAGGGUUAGUGUUAGGGGUAGGCCUAGAUUUAGGACUAGGGUUAGUGUUAGAGUUAGGGUUAGGGUUAGGGUUAGAUUAAGGGAUGGGAUUAUAGCUACUUUUAGGACUAGGGUGAGGAUUAGAUUUAGGGUUAUGGUUAGGGAUAGGUUUAUGAUUAAGGUGAGGUAUAUGGCUAGAAUGUGGACUAAUGUUUGUGUUAGGAUUAGGACUAGGAUUAGAGCUAGAGCUAAUGUCAGGUCUAGAGUUACAGUUAGGGAGAGUUUUAGGGUUAGGUUUAUAGCUAGGUCUAUUGUAAGGGUCAGGUUUCUUGUUAGAGUCAGGUUUAGAAAGAACUAUGGUCAGGGUCAGAGUUAGGGUUUUUAUUAGAUUAAGGUUUAGGGAUAAGGCUCAAGUUAUCAUUAUGGUUAGGGAUAGGUUAAUGGUAGUUUUAGCUUUAGAGUUCAGGUUAGGUGUAGGGUAAUGGAUAGGGUUAGGGUUAAGAAUAGGAUUAGGGUUCGGCCUAGGGUUAACAGAAGCAUUAGGGUUAUCAUUAGGGAAAUAGAUAGGCUUAGACGUAGUGAUAGGGAUAGUGU
rnacentral:lncRNA from 1 species